GUUCUGACUCCAUCCGGUCCAUGCCUGGCCGUAAUGGGCUAUGCCGCAAGACCAGACCUCAUCUCACGUGCCCCCUGCAUUUCCUCGCUAGCAUUAUUUCUCGCGCGCUGCGUGGCGAGUUUUUUAAAAUGCUCUGUUUUCUUCUUCUUCUUCUUCCGCUACUACCCUCGUCUCGCUCGUUGGACAGAAGAUCGGAAAUAUCAGACCAUCCGAUUCGUCUCCACCGGGAGAUCGCUGCCGUCGUUUUCCUGAACUGAAAUUCCUUUCCAGCAUGACUGUGAUGUGGGCUGGUAGCCUAAAUUGAAGGAAGAAAAGGCUCCAAAUCAACCAAGCAGAGAGUGAGAAAGAAGCUAUAUUUGUGCCUAAGAUGACCAUAGCUGAUGAUAUUGGUGGUUGAAGACAUAAAAAUUCAAUCAUGAGUGUUGCCAUUCCAGUCACAGUCAGUGGAACAGGACCACCCUGCUGUCCAGCUUCCUCCCAAGAAGAAUGGUUGCUCUCGAGGAUGGGUAUCCUUUAUAUGUUCUGGUCACACGCCUGCAGAACUCAAAUGUCCAUCUCCUCCAAAAGUGGGUCCCCUCCCCCAGUUUGUGCCUUCCAAGAGCAGCUUGAAGAAGCCCACAGAUGGUUCCAUACUAGUUGGUGGAGGCAAUGAUGGUUGUAUCACAAGGAAGAAAGUGCAGUGGCCCGAUUACUUUGGCAAAGAGCUUAUUGAGAUCAGACAUAUUCACUGUCAGAAGUGAUGGAAGCGUGCUUAAUAUGCAGUCAUGAAGCUAUGUGGCACAUGCAUCAUGGCCAAUCAAGAAGCUGAGUUCAUUCCAAGAAUUGUUAAUCGAUCGACAGUUGAUCAGUUGCCGAUUGCAGUAGCUUUGUUCUUCAGGUAAGCUAUAGCCGCAGGUCGUCAUCCAGAUCUUUUCCCAGCCCUGCCUGGCUGACCUUAUCAACAAACUACAUGCAUUUGUGGGAAUACAGCUCUCCUCAUGGUUAGUCGCCUGUCCAAUUGACAGUGAAUCUACACCGUUGAUGAUUUUGGUCCAUUUAUUCAUGAUCGUUGGUGUGUCAAUGGGUCCCCCUGUUUUCCCCCUUUCUUUCAUUUUGAUUCUUCGCCUCGUUAUUUUUUCUCUUGCUGUGGUAGAAUCUAAUGCCUACGUUGCUGGAAUGUACAUAUUCUUCAACCAUAGAUCCAACUUUCUUUUCUUUUCUUUUCUUUUCUUGGAUACAAAGGCUUAUAUCUCAUUCAUAUGAAAUUUCUCAUGAAAUGUGUUUCAUUUGUAAGAGUUCUUGCUCA